UAGGGAAUCUUCUGCAAUGGACGAAAGUCUGACCGAGCAACGCCGCGCGAGUGAAGAAGGUUUUCGGAUCGUAAAACUCUGUUGUUAGAGAAGAACAAGGACGUUAGUAACUGAACGUCCCCUGACGGUAUCUAACCAGAAAGCCACGGCUAACUACGUGCCAGCAGCCGCGGUAAUACGUAGGUGGCAAGCGUUGUCCGGAUUUAUUGGGCGUAAAGCGAGCGCAGGCGGUUUCUUAAGUCUGAUGUGAAAGCCCCCGGCUCAACCGGGGAGGGUCAUUGGAAACUGGGAGACGUGAGUGCAGAAGAGGAGAGUGGAAUUCCAUGUGUAGGGGUGAAAUGCAGAGAUAUAUGGAGGAACACCAGGGGCGAAGGCGGCUCUCUGGUCUGUAACUGACGCUGAGGCUCGAAAGCGUGGGGAGCAAACAGG
rnacentral:rRNA from 1 species